AAUGAACGCUGGCGGCAUGCCUAACACAUGCAAGUCGAACGAAGCCUUCGGGCUUAGUGGCGCACGGGUGCGUAACGCGUGGGAAUCUGCCCUUGGGUUCGGAAUGACAGUUAGAAAUGACUGCUAAUACCGGAUGAUGACGUAAGUCCAAAGAUUUAUCGCCCAAGGAUGAGCCCGCGUAGGAUUAGCUAGUUGGUGAGGUAAAAGCUCACCAAGGCGACGAUCCUUAGCUGGUCUGAGAGGAUGAUCAGCCACACUGGGACUGAGACACGGCCCAGACUCCUACGGGAGGCAGCAGUGGGGAAUAUUGGACAAUGGGCGAAAGCCUGAUCCAGCAAUGCCGCGUGAGUGAUGAAGGCCUUAGGGUUGUAAAGCUCUUUUACCCGGGAUGAUAAUGACAGUACCGGGAGAAUGAGCUCCGGCUAACUCCGUGCCAGCCGCCGCAGUAACAC
rnacentral:rRNA from 1 species